AAGAGUUCGUAGGUGGUUGAAAAAGUUAGUGGUGAAAUCCCAGAGCUUAACUCUGGAACUGCCAUUAAAACUUUUCAGCUAGAGUAUGAUAGAGGAAAGCAGAAUUUCUAGUGUAGAGGUGAAAUUCGUAGAUAUUAGAAAGAAUACCAAUUGCGAAGGCAGCUUUCUGGAUCAUUACUGACACUGAGGAACGAAAGCAUGGGUAGCGAAGAGGAUUAGAUACCCUCGUAGUCCAUGCCGUAAACGAUGUGUGUUAGACGUUGGAAAUUUAUUUUCAGUGUCGCAGGGAAACCGAUAAACACACCGCCUGGGGAGUACGACCGCAAGGUUAAAACUCAAAUGAAUUGACGGGGACCCGCACAAGUAGUGGAGCAUGUGGUUUAAUUCGAAGAUACGCGCAGAACCUUACCAACACUUGACAUGUUCGUCGCGACGCUAAGAGAUUAGAGUUUUCGGUUCGGCCGGACGAAACACAGGUGCUGCAUGGCUGUCGUCAGCUCGUGUCGUGAGAUGUUGGGUUAAGUCCCGCAACGAGCGCAACCCUCACUUUUAGUUGGCAUCAUUAAGUUGGGCACUCUGAAAGAACUGCCAGUGAUAAGCUGGAGGAAGGUAGGGAUGACGUCAAGUCCUCAUGGCCCUUACGUGUUGGGCUACACACGUGCUACAAUGGUAUCUACAACAGGAAGCAAGACUGCGAAGUUAAGCAAAUCCCUAAAAGAUACCUCAGUUCGGAUU
rnacentral:rRNA from 1 species